rnacentral:rRNA from 1 species
UACGUAGGUUCCGAGCGUUGUCCGGAUUCAUUGGGCGUAAAGGGCUCGUAGGCGGUUUGUCGCGUCGGGAGUGAAAACGCCGUGCUUAACACGGCGCUUGCUUUCGAUACGGGCAGACUAGAGGUAUGCAGGGGAGAACGGAAUUCCUGGUGUAGCGGUGAAAUGCGCAGAUAUCAAGAGGAACACCGGUGGCGAAGGCGGUUCUCUGGGCAUUACCUGACGCUGAGGAGCGAAAGUGUGGGGAGCGAACAGG